UUGGCGACAAACCAUGACGGUUAGCAACGAUGAGACAGAUAAUCUAUGUCAUAUAUAUACAUAAAUUUGUCAUAUUCUAUUAAACAACCGAAGUCUAGGAGCCGAUCCAGAGUGAAAAGAACUAACGAGAAAUAAGUUCUUACUUUCUCCCGCUAAUACAGGUACGGAAGUCAGCAGACCGGCAGGGAGCAGCGUGCAUCUGCCCAGGUCGAGUAAUCACCACCUGUCUUUGGGUCCAUCCCUAAGUAACGCCACGCAUUAAAUAUAUAGAUCGUAGUUCGAGCACGGCUUUGGCCAAAAUCAGGAAAAUGUAUGUAUAGAGUUGUUAUUGUCAUCAUAUAGAUUUUCAGGUAUAUUCAUAUUGCCUACUCGCGCAAAAAAAAAUUAGUAAGUGUAUAAAAAUGUUUC